UACGAAGGGGGCUAGCGUUGUUCGGAAUUACUGGGCGUAAAGCGUGCGCAGGCGGCUUCUCAAGUCAGGGGUGAAAGCCCAGAGCUCAACUCUGGAAUUGCCUUUGAGACUGAGUGGCUUGAGUACGAGAGAGGUGAGUGGAAUUCCCAGUGUAGAGGUGGAAUUCGUAGAUAUUAGGAAGAACACCAGUGGCGAAGGCGACUCACUGGUCCGGUACUGACGCUGAGGUGCGAAAGCGUGGGGAGCAAACAGG
rnacentral:rRNA from 1 species